CGGGAGCUAGCUCAGUCAGGUAGAGCGCUUAUAGUUCUUUUGAAAUUUGAUCCCUUACGGGCACACAUCAGAAUUUGGACAUUGAGGAUGUAGAGGUCAUGGGUUCAAAUCCCAUUCUCCCGA
rnacentral:tRNA from 1 species